GGCUGGGGCGGGCCGGCAGGAGCUUUGAGCUUGGGCACGGAAGCCGCGAGGGCUGUGGGGGCGAGGGCGGGGCGUCCAGAGGAGGCGCGGGGGACCUCGGGAGGGUCCGGCCCUCGGAGCCCCGGCCUGAAGAGGGAAGGGGCUCCCGAGCUGCGGUGGCAGAGAGGCAAGAUGACUUCUCUCCCCCAAGCUUGGAACAGCUGAAGGAAACAACAGUACAAGAUGAGAACAACAAAGGUCUACAAACUCGUCAUCCACAAGAAGGGCUUUGGGGGCAGUGAUGAUGAGCUAGUCAUGAACCCUAAAGUGUUUCCUCACAUCAAGCUUGGAGACAUUGUGGAGAUUGCUCACCCCAAUGAUGAAUACAGCCCUCUGCUUUUGCAGGUCAAGUCACUUAAGGAAGAUCUACAGAAAGAAACUAUUAGUGUGGACCAGACUGUGACUCAAGUGUUCCGACUAAGACCUUAUCAAGAUGUUUAUGUGAAUGUUGUAGACCCUAAGGAUGUGACCCUUGACCUAGUGGAAUUAACCUUUAAGGAUCAAUAUAUUGGCCGUGGGGAUAUGUGGCGAUUAAAGAAAAGUUUGGUCAGCACAUGUGCCUAUAUCACUCAGAAGGUGGAAUUUGCUGGCAUCAGGGCACAGGCUGGUGAGCUGUGGGUCAAGAAUGAGAAGGUCAUGUGUGGUUAUAUCAGCGAAGAUACCAGGGUGGUGUUCCGUUCUACGUCGGCUAUGGUUUACAUAUUUAUUCAGAUGAGCUGUGAAAUGUGGGAUUUCGAUAUUUAUGGGGAUCUAUAUUUUGAGAAAGCUGUGAAUGGUUUCCUUGCUGAUCUCUUUACCAAGUGGAAGGAGAAGAACUGUAGUCAUGAAGUAACAGUGGUCCUAUUUUCUAGAACUUUCUAUGAAGCAAAAUCUCUUGAUGAAUUUCCUGAAAUAAACCGAGCCUCAAUUCGACAGGAUCACAAGGGACGGUACUAUGAAGACUUUUAUAAAGUGGUGGUGCAGAAUGAGAGGAGAGAAGAGUGGACCUCACUCCUUGUGACCAUUAAAAAACUCUUCAUCCAGUAUCCAGUGUUGGUGCGACUGGAACAGGCAGAGGGUUUUCCUCAAGGAGACAAUUCUACCUCAGCACAAGGAAACUACUUAGAGGCCAUCAAUCUGUCAUUCAAUGUGUUUGACAAGCACUACAUCAACCGCAACUUUGACCGGACUGGGCAGAUGUCUGUGGUGAUCACUCCUGGGGUAGGUGUGUUUGAAGUGGACCGUCUACUCAUGAUCUUGACCAAGCAGCGGAUGAUAGAUAACGGAAUUGGUGUGGACUUGGUGUGCAUGGGGGAGCAGCCAUUACAUGCUGUCCCGUUGUUCAAGCUACAUAAUCGAAGUGCGCCUUGUGAUUCUCGUCUGGGUGAUGACUAUAAUAUUCCUCACUGGAUAAACCACAGUUUCUAUACGUCCAAAAGCCAGCUCUUUUGUAACAGUUUCACCCCACGAAUAAAACUGGCAGGAAAGAAGCCUGCCUCUGAGAAAGCAAAAAAUGGCCGUGAUACAUCUCUUGGGACUCCAAAAGAAUCUGAGAACGCCCUUCCCAUCCAAGUAGAUUAUGAUGCCUACGACGCCCAAGUGUUCAGGCUGCCAGGCCCGUCCCGGGCUCAGCGCCUCGCCACCUGCAGGUCUGUGCGAGAGCGGGAGAGUCACAAUCGAAAGAGCGCCAGCUCCUGUGACGUCUCAUCCAGCCCUUCCCUGCCCAGCCGCGCAUUGCCCACCGAGGAGGUGAGGAGCCAGGCUUCUGACGACAGCUCCCUGGGCAGGAGCGCCAACAUCCUGAUGAUCCCACACCCCCACCUGCACCAGUAUGAAGUCAGCAGCUCCUUGGGCUAUACCAGCACUCGAGAUGUCCUGGAGAACAUGAUGGAGCCACCACAGCGAGACUCUAGUGCUCCGGGGAGGUUCCACGUAGGCAGUGCGGAGUCCAUGCUGCAUGUUCGACCUGGGGGAUACACACCCCAGCGGGCACUGAUUAACCCUUUUGCCCCCUCACGAAUGCCCAUGAAGCUCACAUCCAACAGAAGGCGCUGGAUGCACACUUUUCCUGUGGGACCAUCCGGAGAGGCCAUCCAGAUCCAUCACCAGACCCGACAGAAUAUGGCGGAGCUGCAGGGCAGCUGGCAGAGGGACCCAACUCACUCCUCUGCAGAGCUGCUGGAAUUAGCAUAUCAUGAAGCUGCUGGAAGGCACAGCACUUCCCGCCAGCCUGGUGACAGCAUGUCCUUCUUGAACUUCAGUGGAACAGAAGAGCUUUCUGUCAGCCUGCUUAGCAACAGUGGUGCAGGUAUGAAUCCUAGGACUCAGAAUAAGGAUUCUCUAGAGGACAGUGUUUCUACCUCUCCAGACCCAAUUCUGACACUGUCUGCUCCCCCUGUAGUGCCAGGCUUCUGUUGCACAGUUGGAGUGGACUGGAAGUCUCUCACUACUCCGGCGUGCCUCCCCCUCACCACCGACUACUUCCCCGACCGCCAGGGCCUGCAGAACGACUACACGGAGGGCUGUUACGAUCUCCUUCCGGAAGCAGACAUCGACAGGAGGGACGAGGAGGGUGUGCAGAUGACGGCCCAGCAGGUGUUUGAAGAGUUCAUCUGCCAGCGUCUCAUGCAGGGCUACCAAAUCAUAGUGCAGCCCAAGGCACAGAAACCCAACCCUGCCGUCCCGCCCCCACUGAGCAGCAGCCCGCUGUACAGUCGAGGCCUUGUGUCCCGAAACCGCCCUGAGGAGGAGGACCAGUACUGGCUGAGUAUGGGCAGAACGUUCCACAAAGUGACGCUGAAGGAUAAGAUGAUCACAGUGACACGUUACCUUCCCAAGUACCCUUAUGAGUCUGCCCAGAUCCACUACACCUACAGCCUCUGCCCUUCCCACUCAGACUCGGAGUUUGUGUCUUGUUGGGUGGAAUUCUCCCAUGAGCGGCUGGAGGAGUACAAGUGGAAUUACUUAGAUCAGUAUAUCUGUUCGGCCGGCUCUGAGGACUUCAGCUUAAUUGAGUCUCUGAAGUUCUGGAGGACCCGUUUCCUGCUGCUGCCAGCCUGUGUCACUGCCACUAAGCGCAUCACAGAAGGGGAAGCCCACUGCGACAUCUAUGGGGACAGGCCCCGGGCAGACGAGGAUGAGUGGCAGCUCUUGGAUGGCUUUAUCCGCUUUGUGGAGGGUUUGAACCGGAUCCGCAGGCGACAUCGUUCGGAUCGCAUGAUGCGGAAAGGGACCACCAUGAAAGGCUUACAGAUGACCGGGCCCAUUGCCACACACUCCCUUGAGUCGACCGGCCCCCCGGUUGGGAAGAAGGGAACCUCAGCUCUGUCUGCCCUGUUGGAGAUGGAGGCCAGUCAGAAGUGUCUAGGAGAACAGCAGGCAGCUGUGCUUGGUGCCAAGAGCUCCUCCCAGCCGGCUGAGAGCAGCAGUGUUGCCAUGACUCCCACCUACGUGGACAGCCCACGAAAGGACGGGGCCUUCUUUAUGGAGUUUGUCCGCAGCCCGCGCACAGCGUCGUCCGCCUUCUACCCACAGGUGUCUGUGGACCAGACGGCCACCCCAGUGUUGGACAGCACCAGUUUGGGGGUAAGCACAAGCCAAUCUGUGGAUAGAGGCAACAGCCAGGCCUUUGGGAACUCCCAGAACUCAGGGGAACAGAGCUUCCCCUCUGCAAACUCCGGUGACAGCAGCUCUCAGCAGCCGGCAGCAAGCUCCUUAACCUCAUCCUCCACCCUGACAGAGAUCCUAGAAGCCAUGAAACACCCCUCGACAGGAGUCCAGCUGCUCUCGGAACAGAAGGGCCUCUCGCCAUGCUGCUUCAUCAGUGCGGAGGUGGUGCACUGGCUGGUGAACAACGUGGAGGGCGUCCAGACGCAGGCGAUGGCUAUCGACAUCAUGCAGAAAAUGCUGGAAGAACAGCUCAUCACACAUGCAUCUGGUGAAGUCUGGCGGACCUUCAUCUACGGCUUCUAUUUCUACAAGAUAGUCAUGGACAAAGAACCUGACCGAGUGGCCAUGCAGCAGCCCACCACCUGGCACACGACAGCCGUGGAGGACUUCGCCAGCUUCCAGCGCAAGUGGUUUGAGGUGGCCUUUGUAGCUGAAGAGCUCUUGCACUCCGAGAUUCCUGCUUUCCUCUUGCCCUGGCUGCCCAGCCGGCCAGCCUCCUAUGCAAGCAGGCACAGCUCCUUCAGCCGCAGCUUUGGAGGCCGGAGCCAGGCAGCUGCGCUUCUAGCGGCCACUGUCCCAGAGCAGAGGACCGUGACCCUGGAUGUGGACGUGAACAACCGCACAGACCGGCUGGAGUGGUGCAGCUGUUACUAUCAUGGCAACUUCUCCCUGAAUGCGGCCUUUGAGAUCAAGCUCCACUGGAUGGCCGUGACUGCCGCGGUCCUCUUCGAGAUGGUCCAAGGCUGGCAUCGCAAAGCCACUUCCUGCGGCUUUUUGUUGGUCCCCGUUCUGGAGGGUCCCUUUGCACUGCCCAGUUACCUGUAUGGCGAUCCGCUCCGAGCCCAGCUCUUCAUCCCACUCAACACCAGCUGCCUGCUCAAGGAGGGCAGUGAGCACCUGUUUGAUAGCUUCGAACCGGAAACGUACUGGGAUCGAAUGCACCUUUUCCAGGAAGCCAUAGCACACAGGUUUGGGUUUGUGCAAGAUAAAUAUUCCGCCUCUGCUUUUAACUUCCCUGCCGAGAACAAGCCUCAGUACAUCCACGUUACAGGAACAGUGUUCCUGCAGCUGCCCUACUCCAGGCGCAAGUUCUCGGGGCAGCGGCGGCGGCGGAACUCCACGAGCUCCACCAGCCAGAGCAUGUUCUGUGACGAGCGGGUUGGCUACAACUGGGCCUACAACACCAUGCUGACCAAGACGUGGCGCUCUAGUGCCACGGGGGACGAGAAGUUCGCAGAUCGGCUGCUCAGGGAUUUCACGGACUUCUGCAUCAACCGCGACAACCGGCUGGUCACGUUCUGGACAAGCUGCCUGGAGAAGAUGCAUGCCAGCGCCCCAUGAGGCCAGGCCACGCCCGGGUCCAAGCGCAGGGAGGGUUUGGCUCUUGCUGUCCAUGUCCAGUAGGGGCAGGCGGGCUUUGGGCGGCAGGCGGCAGUGCCCCUGCCGGUGAGUGGGGGCCGUUGCUGCUUGUUCUCCCCCACCCCACCCCACCCCACGAAAUGUUCUUCCCCUCGAGGAGAAAGACUCAGGAAGAAACGAGUGCUGAGAGCAGGUGGGAGGCCCAGAUGGUCCGUGGGAGGACCUCAGUACUGGGGGCGGGGGGUGAGCAGCCCCCAUGAAUGUCCUUGGAGAGGGGGUGGCUCCUGGGAGCAUCCUUUCCCUCUGCCAGCCGUGGGCUUUUCGGAGCCGUCUGCCACUUCCCGCCCGAAAGUGUGCACAGGAUGUAAGAUAAUUUUGUGAAAUAGUGUACCAUAGGCUCACACCAACUGUAUAUACCUGUACAUAUCAGAAGCAGGAAUAAAGUGCCACAUGCAGGAUCUCUGGCCCCCAGCUGGUUCCUGGCAGCGGCGGUCCCAUCCUCGGCUGGGCAGUCGGGCCCCAUCGCCAGGGACAUAGUGGCAAAUGAGGCAGCCACAGAAGACAAACCUUCACUCUUUGUUAAGCGUCAACGUCCUUCAUUUAUAAAAUGGGAGACUGUCUGCUAGUGUGGUGAGAGGACCAGAAGACAGAGGUGUAUGAAAGCACUUACUACCCAGCAGGCAGUAAACAAACGCCGGCGGCUCUGACAUUCCCGGAUGGAAAGUCCUCUUUGCCCUGUUUCUGAGCCAGCUUCCUGCUGGAUGUUGCUGGAUGUGGCAGCCACUGGCCUGUCCGGCUCAGAUCGUGUGGCACAGACAUGUGUGGUCCUCAGUAUCCUACUUUCCGCCCUCCUCUCUUCCAAAAAUGACCCGGGAAAAGAAGGCUUAGAGAGUAGAAUGCUAGCCACUCACCCUUCAGAGCUGGGCCUGAAACACCUAUGCCCUUGAAUCCUAGUUCCCCCACAUUCUUCCUCUCUGACCAGCAGCACCUCCUUCCACCCACUUGUCCAAGCCAGAAUCUGGGAGUAGAACUCAAGCCUCGUUCAACUCCACCAUCACCCGUCCCUCAGGCCCACCCACCUCCCUCCAUGCCUGCUGCCCAAAUGCGGAGAGAGCCCAGCCUGGGGAAAUGUGUGAUUUGGUUAGACAUGAGGGAUGUGUGCGUGCAGAUUGGACGCCCCACACCAGGUGUAUAAACGUGAAUAACCAUUCCUUGGUGGAGAGAGAAAGGCAGGAAGCUUGGGGCCAAGAGGACCUGGGUUUAAAUCCCAGCUCUGCCAUUUCUUCGCUGUGAGAGCUAAGAAUGUUCUGUCUCCUGAGUGUGGUUCCUCAUGGGUUAGAUAGAGAUGACAUGGCCUCACCUUUCUUCCCAACCCCGCCCCCCACACACACCUCUCUUGAGUGUUGCUCUUCUUCUCUGCUUGUGACAAUGUAAUUAUUUGCUGACCCCUUUCAGCCCCGUAGGCUGAGAAUUUCUUCUUGCACACUGUCUAGUCACUGAGAGUCGAGUGAGUGAGCUGGUGAGACCAAGGGAGCAGGUACACGUGGCAGGGCCCCUCACAGGGUCCAGCACAAAGGAGGGGCACAUGGACUGUAAGGAGGAUCUUGAUGCAAUCACCAAUCUGGUUCCCUAAAUUAAGUCAUGGAGGGCGCUUAUUAAUGUUCAGAAAUGGGGCAUCAAGGCCCAGAUACAUGCAUGACAUGCCUUGGGCUCACCCCAGUAUAAGCGGGGAUGAGGGUGGUCCAGUAAGACAAGGCCUUAGAGCAGAGGGGUUCUUGGAGAUCUGGCCCAACCCUUUCAUUUUCUCCCAGUUAAGGAAACAGGGAGUGACCUGUCCUAGGCUCUAGGUGGCACUGGGACAAGGACCAGUCCUCCAGUUCCCAGGCCCAGUGUUUUUCUAAGCAUUUGGUUAUUAUAGUCAGUAGUAUGGAGGUUGAGAGGGCAGGCGUAGGAGGCAAGUGGCUGGAUUCAUAUUCUAGCAGGGCCACUUGCCAGCAUGUGAGUCUGAGUAAGUUACUGCAUCUCUCUGAACCUCAGUUUCCUCAUCUGUAAAAUGAAACACUAGUACCAUCACCAGGGUCUUGAAAACCACACAAGAGAAUGUGGGUAGAGAGCGUGGACAGUGGCUGGAACAUUGUGCCCUCCCUCAACAUCAACUGUUAAAUUGCCCCAGACUCUGUGACCCCCGGGAGUUUAGAGAAGGGAAUAAUCAGAGAGCUGGAGUGGACAGGCUAGUCUUUAAAGAGGAAGUAGCCUUGGACCUGGUGGGAUGUAUAGGAGUCAGAGUGGUCAAGAGGCUGAGCCCAGUGUCCCCACUUGGCCCAGAGGUCUGUACUCCACUAACUAUUUGCUAUGGUCGUUCUGCCUUAUCUAGGUCCCAAGAACUUCUGCUGAGAAGUUUUUUCUCUUGUCAGAGGUGCCACGUUGCCAAGAGCAGGAAGAGGGCUUUCUGACCAUGCCACCCUGGCCCCUUCUCGUCGUGAACAGGGUUGUUGCCUGAAGCUGAGCAGCUCUGGAGACAUUUCUCAGUUUUGUGGUUGUGCUGGGGUGCACCCAGGCCCUCGGACACCUGAGGAGCACCAUCGGCCUCCUGAAUGUAGAAAUGAAUCUGGGGUGGGGAACCACACAGAGUGUGAGAUGCAGAAAAACCUGAUGGGAAAAGAAAUGAGCUAGCAUAACACCCUUCCCCUCUACCAAAGGAAUGGAAAUAAGCCAAGAAGGCUUCAAAGCAGAAGUAGUAGCUGUGUUAGUUCUCUAGUGCUCCCGUGUGAAAGAGUUCGCAUAAAUUGCAGAUUCCAGAGCCUCUCCCAGAGAUUCUGAUUCGGGGGGGUCUGGGACUCUCCACUAUAAACAGACACUCUGUUCUCAGUGGUCCAUUUGAGAAACCCUGUUCCAGAUUCCUUCUCUGGGCUUCUCCCUGAGUACUCUACACGCAGCUUCAACUAGCCUGGAAAUCUGAUUCUUAGACCAAAGCAGAUUAGAAGCCACACACAGAAAGGCAACAUAGUUGACAGCUGAGAGAAAUGACAUCUGACAGCAGACAGACGGCUGCACGGGGCUGCCGAAGGCACAGGACCACCAAAGCUCACGCGGCUGGGCCAGGAACUGCCAAGUACUACAUGGGAUAGGCAUGGACGCCCAUAUACCCUGUGUAGGAAGAGACCCAUCAAAAUAAUUAAAAUGGAAACUUGAGGUAUUACAAGGAAGAAACACAUGGUAUACGCCUGACACACUGAGGAAGUCUGUGAGGCUUUGCCAACAUGGAUAGGAAAUAGUGGGACAGAGAGCUAAAUAGAAGCCAAUUUACAGUGAGCCCGAACAUUUCAGGUACAUAUAGUAAUGGUCACUCCUUUUUCUUUUUUUUUUUUUUUUAAGAUUUUAUUUAUUUGAGAGAGCACGAGUGGGGUGGGAGGAGCAGAGGGAGAAGGAAAAGCAGGGUCCCCGCUGAGCAGGGAGCCCGAUGCAGGGCUCGAUCCCAGGACCCUGAGAUCAUGACCUGAGCCGAAGGCAGACACUUAACUGACUGAGCCACCCAGGCGCCCCAGUCACUCCAUUUCUUGAGUGUUGGCUGUGUUCCGGGCAAUGUAACCUAGGUACUUUACGUGCCACUGCAUCGGGUAAUCUUAUCAACCAUCAUCAUACCAGAUGAGAGUGGAAGGCCCAGGCAGUGAAGCCCAGGGCCACACAGCUAACAGCAGGGCUGGGAAUCAGGCCUGUGGGACCCCAGAGCCCAGCCUGGCCUGCUGUGCUGACCCCCUCGGCUGGGUCAGUGAGGCAUCGCCACUGCUCGGACCUGGGGCUCUGGCUAGGGGUCCCGUAUUCCUUUCAGCUGACUGCACUGUGUGUGGUCCAGCCCUGCUGGUGUACAGAUGCUGUGUAACAUGUGAAUGUGGCCUCACAUACAGGCGCUCUGCUGGGAGCACGCUGUGACUUUGAGCGGGGGCCGGUGGCUUUUCCUCACCUCCAGGCUCCUCCCCGGAAGGCCCUGUCUGCUCCUUCCCUUCCAGCCCCACAGCUCCUGACUUCAGCCUGCACGUGCUUUGGGCAGCUCCUGGCUUUCAGGCCAUGCCACACACUUGCCCAGUGCCUGGCCUGGGAUGCACGGGUUGUGGGGGCAAAGCCAGGCGCCAAGGACUCAUUCCUACCAGUCUUUAGAUCUGUUCUCCAUCUGCUUCUCUGGCUGCAGCAAGAUUCAUCUGUUUCCUCAAUGAAUCAGCACAUAGUCCUUCAGGAAGAAAAUCUCUUCCCACCCUUGUGGGAAGCACAGGGGUGGGUGAGAGUUGUGGCUCUAUGACCACCAGCAACCCAUCUCUCUGAGCCCUGACAUUUUCAUCUGAACUCCUCUGGCAAUGAGUCUGGGAGAAGCCUUGGGGAUCACAGGAUGUCAGAUCUUUCCUCGACUGGCAGGAGAGCUGAGUGCCAAGAGGGGAUGGGAGUCCCUGUCGGUCUCUGAGGUGGCUGGUGGCAGCUGGGAUGGGAGCUGAGUCCCUUACCUCCUCUCUGCGCACUGUGGAUUGUACCAGAUUGCUUAUCCAGGCCCAAUUUCUCCCCGUUAAUACUCAUGUGUCUCUUAAAAAGAGACAGAGAAUUUUAUUUUUAAGCCCAGGGCAUCCUGGGAGAGAAACAUUUUCCUAAUGUCUUUGUUCAUCCAACCCCAGUAGCUCACAUUCUGGGUU